rnacentral:rRNA from 1 species
UACGGAGGGAGCUAGCGUUGCUCGGAAUUACUGGGCGUAAAGGGAGCGUAGGCGGACAGUUUAGUCAGAGGUGAAAGCCCAGGGCUCAACCUUGGAAUUGCCUUUGAUACUGACUGUCUUGAGUAUGGGAGAGGUUAGCGGAACUCCGAGUGUAGAGGUGAAAUUCGUAGAUAUUCGGAAGAACACCAGUGGCGAAGGCGGCUAACUGGCCCAUUACUGACGCUGAGGCUCGAAAGCGUGGGGAGCAAACAGG